UGCCAGCCGCCGCGGUAAUACGUAGGGUGCGAGCGUUAAUCGGAAUUACUGGGCGUAAAGCGUGGGCAGGCGGUUUGCUAAGACAGUUGUGAAAUCCCCGGGCUCAACCUGGGAACUGCAAUUGUGACUGGUAGACUCGAGUUUGGCAGAGGGGGGUGGAAUUCCUGGUGUAGCAGUGAAAUGCGUAGAUAUCAGGAGGAACACCGAUGGCGAAGGCAGCCCCCUGGGCCACGACUGACGCUCAUGUACGAAAGCGUGGGGAGCAAACAGGAUUAGAUA
rnacentral:rRNA from 1 species